rnacentral:misc_RNA from 1 species
UAAUCUCACUCCAACACCUUUAUCGAUGUUGGAUGUGGACUUGGAUGUUGUCGUGUUCAACGACUCGUCUUAAAUGCCUGAGUGUACCCUGCUUUGCAGCGUAUCAGUGUGAUAAACAUCUUCACUGUUAAGUCUUUCGGGACACGCUUGUGUUGUAGGCUCUAUGCUUUCAAACCGUCCUCUGGACAAUCUCUGACA